UUUGAAAUACUUGUUCCCGUACGAUCACCAAAGUUAAGCAACUUAGAUCCUGCUCAGUCACUAGAUGAGUAACCGCUUGGGAACGCCAGGUGCUGUAGG